AGAAGGAACCUCCGAGAGGAACGAAGAAGUUCGGGGAAGAGGACGGGUCCGGGUGAAUUUCUUCCUGCGGCCGCCUGCGUGUUCUGGAGGGGUCGGGACACUCAAGCCACUGGAGCCCCGGCAGAAAGGGACCCGAGGGCGCUCGGGCGGGGGCGGUGCUGCCACCCGCUGCUUGUCCUUGGGAAUGUGGUUCGUCCGCUCGGCUGACCCUCGGCCCUUCUGGGGCCCCGGGGUGGCCGAGGUGUUUGGCCCCCGGGCGGUGAGACCCGAGGUCACUGCCGCACUUGCUGGGAUGGGUUCCGGGGGUCGUGGAGGCGAAGGGUUCACGAGGCUGAGGGGCAGUGCGCAGGGUUGGACCUGCCCAGGCGCUAGGUUCCGUGCCGCCCUAGUCCAAGGGCCUGGCCCGGGUCGGGUGCCGGAUGCCCUUUGCUCUGGCGCAGGCUCCUAGAGGCCGGCCCGGCGCCUGGCUGAGUCCCACUCUUCCCCGGGGAGGUGGCCGAACUCCUGAGACCGGUCGGGGGAGCUGUGCCUGGCGCGCGGGCUGCGGCUUCUGGCCUGGAGCGGAGGCGAGCGCCGCCCUGGGCGACAAAGAGGCGGGGCGAGGCCACCUGUCAGCGCUUAGGCGUCGCCAGGCCUCGCAACCUUCACCUGGAUCUGGAGAGUGCGCAGGGCCGCGGCCACACCGGGGCUUCAGGUCCUUGCCGCGCGAGAGGCGAGGAGGGCGCAGCGCAGAGGCUGAGUGGCGCAGGGUGGGCUGCGAAAGUGCCUCUGCUAGUCUUGAAAGUAAAGGUUUGGUUAAAAAUACCCUAAACCCUAAAAACCUCUGUACCUCCUGAUAUGGGUUGAAUAUUCGCAAGAAGGACUGGAUGACUAAAUCUGGGCUAUCUCCGUGAUUUCAGAGGAAACACUGCUCCCUCCAGCAACUUGAGGCUUUGUUUAUACGGGAGUAAUUCUGAGAAGGCAGUGAAACGCGUGUUUCAGACCCAGCCUUUCCUACUCCUGCUAAUCCACUGUUUUGAAGAGAAAGUAUCUGAGAUAUUAUUCCACUAAUUAACACUUUUGUUUUCCAACUCCGGCAUAUGUCCCUGGAAUUUAAAUGCUUUCUUCCCUUCCUCCUCAAAUUUAGUUUCUGCAGCGUAUAGUUCGUUUCAGACACGUGAUAGCACCUAACCAUCUGUUAGGGUUUUUGAAAGGUCUUGUCGAGGUCGAGCUGCAAAAAUGUGGAUUUUUUAAAAGUUAAUUAUUAACCAGACAGGUGAGGUAUCCGCUUAAUUUAAUGAAUAUUUUGCCCUAUUUAGAAAACAGGAAACCUGAAGUCAGUGUUUUAUUUUUGUUUUGUUUUGUUACUGUAGAGGCAGAAAGGCUUGAUAGAUUUUCUCCAAGAGAUUACUAUGAAUUAGCUAAUUCUUAGUAAUAACUUAUAUCAGGAAAUAGGGAGGAUUAGAGAGUAUGGUCUACUUCGGUAUAUACCUUGCUAUAAAUUGUAGGCAAAGCAGAUGUCGUUCUAGGGCUUUUGGAAGCUCCCAAGAGUGAAUUUUUUUUAAAAGAAAGUGAAAAAACCAGAAAUUUCAUUAACAUGUAUUUUCACCUGCAGCUUACUAAAGGUAUAGUAAAACUAAAAACAAAACAACAAAAAAAAAAAACAAAACUUAAGCUGGUGAAUGAAAAUACUGCCAUCUACUGGAAAAGUGUAGUUCUUACACCAGCCUUUGACCUAGGAAAAGACAUUGAUUUAUCUCAUUUUUGAAUUCUUACUGUUCAGGACACUCUAAGACAUAUAAAGUUGAGCAUGACAUGAGCUGUCAGUACUCUUGUAUUUGUGUGUUAACAAUUCCUUUCCUCUGGGCAAAGGAAAGGGAGUAUAAAUAAAACCCAGGGAUGUGGCCUCACUCUUCCCCAGAGUGAAGUCAUCACUCUAAAGGAAAAAAAAAAUACAUUCAUUAAAUAUAAGGUAUUGUAUUAAGUGUGGAUUUUUCCUAUGUCAACCUGGACCCAGUAUUAUUGAUAAAUAAGAAGUGCCUAACACUUACUAUAUAGUCACAUCACUUGAAAAAUGAAUGAAAAUAUCCUUUCAUUAGAAGAGAUAUUACUAUGUCUAUGUUCACUGUAUUCCUAUUUAUUCAUUUGAAAAAUACUUAUUGUGUCACCUUGUGCCAGGCACUGGGUUAGGCAAUAAGUACCCUGAGUAUUCUGAGUACCAAGUACAGGCACUGAAUACACGAUGGGGUACUAACCAAGAGAUACUUUAUAUGAAUAAAACACAGAUCAGAUUAUCAUGAAUUAACAUUCCCAACAUUAUUUUGCUUUUCUCCUCCUUAGAAUCUGGGAAGGGAAGAAAUUGUUUUCUGAGUGAAUAAUACUUUUGAUCAAAUAAUUAAAAUGUUCAGAUGUUCCAAAGAUUACUAAUUCUAGAUAAAUCAUUGACAUAUUUAUAAAUCACUGUUUAAGAGGAUGCCUGGGUAUUAUUUGCAUAAAUAAGAAAUCCCAGAGAUUUCAUGUUUAUUUUAAAUUUAUAUUUCUUCUAGAAUAAUCUAAAACAAAAGAAAUGCAUUAGAUAUAAAAACAGAG
rnacentral:lncRNA from 1 species